AGCAGAGCUGUUGUCAGCAGCACUUUCUAACUAAGGACAGUACUGCAUGGGGACGGAGUACGCUCUGGCUUGGCACAGCACUCCUGGGCCUCUCCAAGCAGCAUCAUCACAGAGCAAGCUCUCAGAUUGCCCCAAGAGUAAAUUCCUUACCAAAGAAAAUCAUCAAGCAUACCACCCUGUGGGAAACAUCUAACAAGUCACACUUUGGGAAACACUGUCCUCACUGGCACGUAGUAUCUACAUAAUAUUAAACAGUCAUCUCAGGUGUUAAUGCUGAACAUGAGAUGUUGGUCAGGCAUCCACUGUGUUCCUGCACACAGUGAUGACAUCUCUGGUGAAUACAAAGACUUAAUGACUCCCUGUCCCGGCC